rnacentral:rRNA from 1 species
GUUAAGCGACUAAGCGUACACGGUGGAUGCCCUGGCAGUCAGAGGCGAUGAAGGACGUGCUAAUCUGCGAUAAGCGUCGGUAAGGUGAUAUGAACCGUUAUAACCGGCGAUUUCCGAAUGGGGAAACCCAGUGUGUUUCGACACACUAUCAUUAACUGAAUCCAUAGGUUAAUGAGGCGAACCGGGGGAACUGAAACAUCUAAGUACCCCGAGGAAAAGAAAUCAACCGAGAUUCCCCCAGUAGCGGCGAGCGAACGGGGAGCAGCCCAGAGCCUGAAUCAGUGUGUGUGUUAGUGGAAGCGUCUGGAAAGGCGCGCGAUACAGGGUGACAGCCCCGUACACAAAAAUGCACAUGCUGUGAGCUCGAUGAGUAGGGCGGGACACGUGGUAUCCUGUCUGAAUAUGGGGGGACCAUCCUCCAAGGCUAAAUACUCCUGACUGACCGAUAGUGAACCAGUACCGUGAGGGAAAGGCGAAAAGAACCCCGGCGAGGGGAGUGAAAAAGAACCUGAAACCGUGUACGUACAAGCAGUGGGAGCACGCUUAGGCGUGUGACUGCGUACCUUUUGUAUAAUGGGUCAGCGACUUAUAUUCUGUAGCAAGGUUAACCGAAUAGGGGAGCCGAAGGGAAACCGAGUCUUAACUGGGCGUUAAGUUGCAGGGUAUAGACCCGAAACCCGGUGAUCUAGCCAUGGGCAGGUUGAAGGUUGGGUAACACUAACUGGAGGACCGAACCGACUAAUGUUGAAAAAUUAGCGGAUGAC